rnacentral:lncRNA from 1 species
CAGUGGAGUCCUGCUCCCCGCCCCUCCCCCACCUCCGCACCCCUCCUGAGAGGCCCCACGUGACACAGAACUUUACUGGCCUCUUGAAAAUGACAUCACAAGACCUUAAGAAGAGCUAAACGGGCUGCCACCUGUAGCUGAAGAGUGCCUUAACGCCGAGGCCCACGGCUCCAUGCGAGAGAUGCCUGUUCCUUCUCUGAUAAAUUUGGCAGCUUCACGUACCCUAAGUUUUUGCAUUUCUGACAACCACGUGUCCUCACCUGGACCCGCCAACCCAUCCUGUGGCCUCCACCCAGGAACUGACUCAGCAUGAGAGGACAGCCUCAAUUCCCCAUGAUUUCAUCUCCAACCCAACCAAUCAGCUUGCCCCCUACCCUGGUCCCCUGCCCACCAAACUGUCUUUGAAAAACCCAUAACCUCCAUGCCUUCAGGGAGAUAAUUUGAGUACUAACGCCAUCUCCCAUGGGGCAUGGCCGACCUCGUGUCUA